rnacentral:rRNA from 1 species
AGCGAACGUUUGCGGCGGGCCUUACACAUGCAAGUCGAACGAGAAGCCCUUCGGGGUGGAAAGUGGCGCACGGGUGCGUAACACGUGGGUACCAACCCCCCAGUUCGGGACAACAGAGGGAAACUUCUGCUAAUACCGGAUACGUCAGCAAUGGGAAAGACCCGCAAGGGUUGCUGGGGGACGGGCUCGCGGCCCAUCAGCUUGUUGGUGAGGUAAUGGCUCACCAAGGCGAAGACGGGUAGCUGGUCUGAGAGGAUGAUCAGCCACACUGGAACUGAGACACGGUCCAGACUCCUACGGGAGGCAGCAGUGGGGAAUAUUGCGCAAUGGGCGAAAGCCUGACGCAGCCACGCCGCGUGAGCGAUGAAGGCCCUCGGGUCGUAAAGCUCUGUGGGGAGAGAAGAAGAAAGCCUGUGAAGAGCAGGCCUUGACGGUAUCUCCUUAGCAAGCACCGGCUAACUCCGUG